AUACAUGCAAGUCGAGCGCAGGAAGCAAGUUGAUCCCCUUCGGGGGUGACGCUUGUGGAAUGAGCGGCGGACGGGUGAGUAACACGUGGGCAACCUGCCUGUAAGACUGGGAUAACCCCGGGAAACCGGGGCUAAUACCGGAUAAUACUUUCUUUUGCAUAAAGGAAAGUUGAAAGGCGGCUUCGGCUGUCACUUACAGAUGGGCCCGCGGCGCAUUAGCUAGUUGGUGAGGUAACGGCUCACCAAGGCGACGAUGCGUAGCCGACCUGAGAGGGUGAUCGGCCACACUGGGACUGAGACACGGCCCAGACUCCUACGGGAGGCAGCAGUAGGGAAUCUUCCGCAAUGGACGAAAGUCUGACGGAGCAACGCCGCGUGAGUGAUGAAGGUUUUCGGAUCGUAAAACUCUGUUGUUAGGGAAGAACAAGUUGGGUAGUAACUGACCCAACCUUGACGGUACCUAACCAGAAAGCCACGGCUAACUACGUGCCAGCAGCCGCGGUAAUACGUAGGUGGCAAGCGUUGUCCGGAAUUAUUGGGCGUAAAGCGCUCGCAGGCGGUCCUUUAAGUCUGAUGUGAAAUCUCGCGGCUCAACCGCGAACGGUCAUUGGAAACUGGAGGACUUGAGUACAGAAGAGGAGAGUGGAAUUCCACGUGUAGCGGUGAAAUGCGUAGAGAUGUGGAGGAACACCAGUGGCGAAGGCGACUCUCUGGUCUGUAACUGACGCUAAGGAGCGAAAGCGUGGGGAGCGAACAGGAUUAGAUACCCUGGUAGUCCACGCCGUAAACGAUGAGUGCUAGGUGUUAGGGGGUUUCCGCCCCUUAGUGCUGAAGUUAACGCAUUAAGCACUCCGCCGGGGGAGUACGGCCGCAAGGCUGAAACUCAAAAGAAUUGACGGGGGCCCGCACAAGCGGUGGAGCAUGUGGUUUAAUUCGAAGCAACGCGAAGAACCUUACCAGGUCUUGACAUCCUCUGC
rnacentral:rRNA from 1 species